rfam:Punctularia strigosozonata HHB-11173 SS5 unplaced genomic scaffold PTNSTscaffold_5, whole genome shotgun sequence.
GGGCCUGUAACUCAGUGGUAGAGUGCCUGCUUUGCAAUCUGUCUCCUACGGAGGGCACGGAUAAGACUGCAUGAAGUCCUGGGUUCAAUCCCCAGCUGGUCCA